AGCGGAGAUGCAAAUGAAACGAUUGCACUUGCCAUUGACCAGCUUCGUCUUUUACGAAACACCCUUUGUCAUACAUCCAGCCCUCAAAUUAAUAAAGUCACGUUCGAUGACUAUGUCAAGCACGUCAAAGACGUGUUCACUGCUUUGAAUUUUAGCACGACAUCUCUGGAGAGGAUUGGCAACAUGAAAGAAUCAGAUUUUCCUACAAAGGAAGUUGAAAAACUCAGUGAAGAAAUCAAUCGUCUGAGAAAUAACUACGUUCUGUUUCUUGAAAGCGAGGUUAUAGAUGAAAUGAGUGGAAUGAAAUAUGAAACGAGUGGAAUGAAAGAUGGAAUGAGUGAAAUGAACCAAAAACUGAAUAGCAUUGAAAGAGUAUUAACACAGACAAAAGAUAGCACAGGUAUGUUGUUUAUGUAUAAUUACACCUUAACAAUUGAUUUUCGAAUUGGAAAGCUGAAUUUAUACCAUAUGAUCAAUAACUUAUCGCUGAAUUCCUCCAGCCUUUGUUUUCAGCCUCAUAUUGAUCAUAAGUUGAUAUGCCCCGCUCCUGUGGGGGUAAUAGCGAACUUAAGCAAAGCUUAAUCUAGUACGGGGACGUGUCAAGAAACCGCCUUCAAUUUUACACUUUUAUAAUUAUAAAGAACUACAAGAUGAAGUGGGUGGAAUCAAACGUAAAAUAAGUGGAGUGGAACAUGAGGUGAAAAGCAUUAAUAAGAAAUUAACACAGA